rnacentral:rRNA from 1 species
GGCUUGUCCGGUGACGGCGUGCUUUUUGUAGAACGAUCCAGCGAGUUAAUUUCAUGCGCCAGGUUAAGUCAAGUGACGGAGCCACAGUGAAAGCGAGCCUGAAUAGGGCGAUAAGUGUAUGGGAUUAGACCCGAAACCGGGUGACCUAACCAUGAGCAGGUUGAAGCUGCGGUAACACGCAGUGAAGGACCGAACCAGUUUGCGCAGUAAAGCAUUUGGAUGACUUGUGGUUAGCGGUGAAAUGCCAAUCGAACUCGGAGAUAGCUGGUUCUCCUCGAAAUAGCUUUAGGGCUAGCGUCAUGUAAUAUAGCCAACGGGGGUAGAGCUCUGUAAACGACUGGGGCGGGCAACUGUACCCACCGUUAACAAACUACGAAUACCGUUGGUGGUACCAUGGCAGUUAGAACAUCGGGGCUAAGCUCGGUGCUCAAAAGGGAAACAGCCCAGACCAUCAUCUAAGGUCCCUAAAUUAACACUAAGUGGGAAACAAGGUGAAAUUUCUUAAACAGCGAGGAUGUUGGCUUAGAAGCAGCCAUUCAUUUAAAGAGUGCGUAACAGCUCACUCGUCAAGAGAUUUUGCGUGGAAAAUGUAACGGGGCUAAAGUGUUAUACCGAAGAUAUGGAUUUCGUUAUUCCUACGGGUUUAACGGAGUGGUAGAGGAGCGUUCCUAUCGGCAGUGAAGCUCAAUCGUAAGGUUGGGUGGAGCGUUAGGAAGUGAGAAUGCUGGAAUGAGUAACCAUAAGAAAGGUGAGAAUCCUUUCGGCCGUAAGAGCGAGGUUUCCAGGGCUACUGUAAUAAUCCCUGGGUUAGUCGGGCCUAAGCCGAGGCGUAGCAGCGUAGGCGAUGGACAUCAGGUUAAUAUUCCUGAACCGGUUAUAAUUUGUAUACUGUGUACGGUAAAUUAGUCGAAGCGGAUUAUUGGUAUAUAUCCGUCCAACUUAGCGGGAACGCAAAAGGAGUGAAAGUUAAUCUACGGAUUAACGAUUUUGAUGAAAGUACUGGCUAGAAAAGCAGAUAUACGCGUGGUUAUAGCCGCCCGUACCGCAAACCAACACAGGUGCUCGAGUCGAGUAGACUCAGGCUUACGAGAGACCCUUCGCUAAGGAACUCGGCAAAACAGCGACCGUAACUUCGGGAUAAGGUCUGCCUCCGCAUCAUUCGAUGCGAGUCGUGUUUCAAGCAAUUAGGUUAAGAUUAAUGGUAUAUAUGAGUAUCUUAAACUUCUUUACCGAGAUAGACAAGUCAAAUGGCUUAGCUUGGAACGCGGUAACCUCGUGUCAAACGAUGCGGAGGCCGCAGCAAAAGAGCCCACGGAACUGUUUACCAAAAACACAGGUCUCUGCUAACACGAAAGUGGAUGUAUAGGGGCUGACUCCUGCCCAAUGCUGGAAGGUUAAGGGGAGCGCUUCACGGUGCGAACUGAAGCCCUAGUCAAUGGCGGCGGUAACUAUAACCGUCCUAAGGUAGCGAAAUUCCUUGUCAGGUAAGUUCUGACCCGCACGAAUGGAGUAAUCAUGUGGGCACUGUCUCGGCGAAGGACUCGGUGAAAGUGCAUUGGCGGUAAAGAUGCCGUCUGUCCAUGCCAGGACGAGAAGACCCCAUGGAGCUUUACUACAGCUUUACAUUGACACGGGUUACAUCAUGUGUAGCAUAGGUGGGAGGCUUUGAAGCAGAUACGCCAGUAUUUGUGGAGCCACAGGUGAAAUACCACCCUUGAUGUAGUCUUUGUCUUACCAUUGCCGUUAUCCGGUAAUGGGACCGUGUAUGGUGGGUAGUUUAACUGGGGCGGUUGCCUCCUAAAGAGUAGCGGAGGCGUUCAAAGGUUGGCUAGCUUCGGAUGGAAAUCGAAGUGAUAGUGCAUGCGCAAAAGCCAGCUUGACUGCGAGAAUUACAAUUCGACCAGAGUGGAAACACGGAGCAAGUGACCCGCUGUAAGAACAUUGUUCAUUGAAUGUGGGAUCGACAGCGCACACGGAUAAAAGUUACCCUGGGGAUAACAGGCUUAUCGCGCCCAAUAGUUCACAUAGACGGCGCGGUUUGGCACCUCGAUGUCGGCUCAUCACAUCCUGGAGGGGGAGCACCUUCCAAGGGUUCGGCUGUUCGCCGAUUAAAGUGGUACGCGAGCUGGGUUCAGAACGUCGUGAGACAGUUCGGUUUAUAUCCGGCAUGGACGUAAGGAUUCUUGAGGAGAUUUGUCUCUAGUACGAGAGGACCGAGAUGAACGAACCUCUGGUGUAUCGAUUGUGGCCACCUGCUGCAGUGUCGAGUAGCUAUGUUCGGUUAAGAUAAGCGCUGAAAGCAUAUUAAGCGCGAAACUGACUCCAAGAUUAGGAAUCCCAUGAGGACACAGAAAGAUGAUCUGUUUGAUAGGCGCAAGGUGUAAACCUGGUAACAGGCUAGCCAAAGCGUACUAAUAGUCCAAUCGCCUUUUUA